ensembl:snRNA U4 U4 spliceosomal RNA
AGCUUUGUGCAGUAGCAGUAUUGUAGUCAACGAGGUUUAUCCGAGGCAUGAUUAUCGUUAAUUGAAAACUUUUUAUAAUACCCUGUGACAACUUGCAAUAUAGUUGUCAUUGGCAAUUUCUGACAGUCUCUAUGGAGA